GAAAUGCGAUACGUAGUGUGAAUUGCAGAAUUCCGUGAACCAUCAAAUCUUUGAACGCAUAUUGCGCUCAAGGCUUCGGCCGAGAGCAUGUCUGCCUCAGCGUCGGGUUAAUAUCACUCCACUCAACCCUGUGUUGAAUGCGUAGUGGAUCUGGCUGUCCCAAUGCGUCACGAUCUCUCCGGAGAUUGUGAAUCAACGCGAUGGGUCAGCUGAAGUGCAGAGGCUGAUGCAAGGACCCUUAUGGGCCGCAACUGGGUAGGCAGCUCACGCUUGCUAUUUCUAGUUGUUGGCUUGGACCAUGCGUCUGCCCUCAAACAGGAACAUUAACCUUAUUUUCUCGACCUGAGCUCAGGCAAGAACACCCGCUGAACUUAA
rnacentral:misc_RNA from 1 species